CUACGGGGUGCUCCAGUGAGGAAUAUUGCACAAUGGGGGGAACCCUGAUGCAGCAACGCCGCGUGGAGGAUGACGCAUUUCGGUGUGUAAACUCCUUUUAUAUGUCAAGAAAAUGACGGUAGCAUAUGAAUAAGCACCGGCUAACUCCGUGCCAGCAGCCGCGGUAAUACGGAGGGUGCAAGCGUUGCUCGGAAUCACUGGGCGUAAAGGGCGCGUAGGCGGGUUGGAAAGUCAGGUGUGAAAUCCUACAGCUUAACUGUAGAACUGCACUUGAAACUUCUAAUCUAGAGUAUGGGAGGGGGAGAUGGAAUUAGUGGUGUAGGGGUAAAAUCCGUAGAUAUCACUAGGAAUACCUAAAGCGAAGGCGAUCUCCUGGAACAUUACUGACGCUAAGGCGUGAAGGCGUGGGGAGCAAAAAGGAUUAGAUACCCCUGUAGUC
rnacentral:rRNA from 1 species